CCAAUAGCGUAUAUUAAAGUUGUUGCAGUUAAAAAGCUCGUAGUUGAACUUCGGGGUCUACCCAUUGGUCAGGCUUAAUUGUCUGUACUGGUGAGAUGGAUCUCUACCUUCUGAGGAACUUUCAUGCCAUUUAUUUGGUGUGAUGGGAAAUCAGGACUGUUACUUUGAAAAAAUUAGAGUGUUUAAAGCAGACUAUCGUCUGAAUACAUUAGCAUGGAAU
rnacentral:rRNA from 1 species